AGAGUUUGAUCCUGGCUCAAGAUGAACUCUUACUACAGGCUUAACACAUGCAAGUCGAGGGGAAACGACAUCGAAUGCUUGCUUUUGAUGGGCGUCCACCGGCGCACGGGUGAGUAACACGUAUCCAACCUGCCGAUGACUCGGGGAUAGCCUUUCGAAAGAAAGAUUAAUACCCGAUGGCAUAGUUCUUCCGCAUGGUAGAACUAUUAAAGAAUUUCGGUCAUCGAUGGGGAUGCGUUCCAUUAGGUUGUUGGCGGGGUAACGGCCCACCAAGCCUUCGAUGGAUAGGGGUUCUGAGAGGAAGGUCCCCCACAUUGGAACUGAGACACGGUCCAAACUCCUACGGGAGGCAGCAGUGAGGAAUAUUGGUCAAUGGACGAGAGUCUGAACCAGCCAAGUAGCGUGAAGGAUGACUGCCCUAUGGGUUGUAAACUUCUUUUAUACGGGAAUAAAGUGAGGCACGUGUGCCUUUUUGUAUGUACCGUAUGAAUAAGGAUCGGCUAACUCCGUGCCAGCAGCCGCGGUAAUACGGAGGAUCCGAGCGUUAUCCGGAUUUAUUGGGUUUAAAGGGAGCGUAGGCGGACGCUUAAGUCAGUUGUGAAAGUUUGCGGCUCAACCGUAAAAUUGCAGUUGAUACUGGGUGUCUUGAGUACAGUAGAGGCAGGCGGAAUUCGUGGUGUAGCGGUGAAAUGCUUAGAUAUCACGAAGAACUCCGAUUGCGAAGGCAGCCUGCUGGACUGUAACUGACGCUGAUGCUCGAAAGUGUGGGUAUCAAACAGGAUUAGAUACCCUGGUAGUCCACACAGUAAACGAUGGAAUACUCCGCUGUUUGUGAUAUACAGUAAGCGGCCAAGCGAAAGCGUUAAGUAUUCCACUGGGGGAGUACGCCGGCAACGGUGAAACUCAAAGGAAUUGACGGGGGCCCGCACAAGCGGAGGAACAUGUGGUUUAAUUCGAUGAUACGCGAGGAACCUUACCCGGGCUUGAAUUGCAACUGAAUGAUGUGGAGACAUGUCAGCCGCAAGGCAGUUGUGAAGGUGCUGCAUGGUUGUCGUCAGCUCGCGCCGUGAGGUGUCGGCUUAAGUGCCAUAACGAGCGCAACCCUUAUCGAUAGUUACCAUCAGGUGAUGCUGGGGACUCUGUCGAGACUGCCGUCGUAAGAUGUGAGGAAGGUGGGGAUGACGUCAAAUCAGCACGGCCCUUACGUCCGGGGCUACACACGUGUUACAAUGGGGGGUACAGAGGGCCGCUACCACGCGAGUGGAUGCCAAUCCCUAAAACCCCUCUCAGUUCGGACUGGAGUCUGCAACCCGACUCCACGAAGCUGGAUUCGCUAGUAAUCGCGCAUCAGCCACGGCGCGGUGAAUACGUUCCCGGGCCUUGCACACAGCGCCCGUC
rnacentral:rRNA from 1 species